AUUGAACGCUGGCGGCAUGCCUUACACAUGCAAGUCGAACGGUAACAGGUUAAGCUGACGCGUGGCGAACGGGUGAGUAAUGUAUCGGAACGUGCCCAGUCGUGGGGGAUAACUGCUCGAAAGAUCAGCUAAUACCGCAUACGACCUGAGGGGGAAAGCGGGGGAUCGCAAGGCCUCGCUCGAUUGGAGCGGCCGGUAUCAUAUUAGGUAGUUGGUGAGGUAAAGGCUCACCAAUCCGACGAGCUGUAGCUGGUCUGAGAGGACGACCAGCCACCCUGGGAGUGAGAAACGGCCCCGACUCUUACGGGAGGCAGCAGUGGGGAAUCUUGGACAAUGGGGGAAAGCCUGAUCCAGCAAUGCCGCGUGAGGGAAGAAGGCCUUCGGGUUGUAAACUGCUUUUGUCAGGGAAGAAAAGGUUCUGGCUAAUACCUGGGACUAAUGACGGUACCUGAAGAAUAAGCACCGGCUAACUACGUG
rnacentral:rRNA from 1 species